ACAGAUAUUAAACUGAUAAGAUCAAGUAUAGUACAGUAUCUGUUCUUAUCAGUUUAAUAUCUGAUAGGUCCUCUGCUGAGGACUAUAUAGUAAAUAGAUUUUUGGGACUAGAAUAGGAACUUGCUCCAUCCACUCCAUGGAUCAUCCUAAGAUAGCCCUAAAAUAGGCUUUUGGUAUGUUUCAGUAGGU